AUUGAACGCUGGCGGCAUGCUUUACACAUGCAAGUCGGACGAGUGGCGAACGGGUGAGUAACGCAUGGGAACCUACCCAGUAAUGGGGGAUAACUACUCGAAAGGGUAGCUAAUACCGCAUACUAUCCGAUCUGCCGAUGUUUGAUUAGCUGGUUGGUGGGGUAAAGGCUCACCAAGGCGACGAUCAGUAGCGGGUCUGAGAGGAUGACCCGCCACACUGGAACGGGGACACGGCCCAGACUCCAACGGGAGGCAGCAGUGGGGAAUUUUGGACAAUGGGCGCAAGCCUGAUCCAGCCAUGCCGCGUGUCUGAAGAAGGCCUUCGGGUUGUAAAGGACUUUUGUCAGGGAGGCGGUACCUGAAGAAUAAGCACCGGCUAACUACGUGCCAGCAGCCGCGGUAAUUC
rnacentral:rRNA from 1 species